UACGUAGGGCGCAAGCGUUGUCCGGAAUUAUUGGGCGUAAAGAGCUCGUAGGCGGUUUGUCGCGUCUGCCGUGAAAGUCCGGGGCUCAACUCCGGAUCUGCGGUGGGUACGGGCAGACUAGAGUGAUGUAGGGGAGACUGGAAUUCCUGGUGUAGCGGUGAAAUGCGCAGAUAUCAGGAGGAACACCAAUGGCGAAGGCAGCUCGCUGGGACGUUACUGACGCUGAGACGCGAAAGCCAGGGGAGCGAACGGG
rnacentral:rRNA from 1 species